rnacentral:rRNA from 1 species
CAAUAGCGUAUAUUAAUGUUGUUGCAGUUAAAAAGCUCGUAGUUGGAUUUCUGGUGGGAGCGGCCGGUCCGCCGUAAGGUGUGUACUUGGUUGUCUCCUGUCAUCCUUGUGGGAACUGCUCUGGCAUUAAGUUGUCGGGGUUAGGGAACACAUCGUUUACUGUGAAAAAAUUAGAGUGUUUAAAGCAGGCUUAUGCCGUUGAAUACAUUAGCAUGGAAUAAUAAGAUAGGACUUUGGCGUCUAUUUUGUUGGUUUGCACACCAAGGUAAUGAUUAAUAGGGAUAGUGGGGGGUAUUCGUAUUUAAUUGUCAGAGGUGAAAUUCUUGGAUUUAUGAAAGACGAACUUCUGCGAAAGCAUUUACCAAAGAUGUUUUCAUUAA